UAUAUUUUUUUUUAUAUUUUAUUAACUACUUAUACCGCACCAUACGUGUUUUAAAGUAUUUAUAAUGAAAUAAAAAAUAGUAAAAAAAAGAAAAAGUCUUCAAGCAAAAUAUGGAUAUCCUCUACCUUAAGUAUAACGUACAUAAAAAUGUUGCAAUUUUUUUUAAUAAUGAUAAGCGUGUCAUUGAUGCGAUUAUGGCUCUGGUUAAUAAUUGACCCAAGGCGUUUGAACAAAAAUGUGCUUAUCCUGUAGGUCACUAGGCUUUCUUGAUCGUAUUCUCGGACCAUGGUUACGCAUCGUACAAGAAAUUUUCUUAUUGUUAGGGAAACAUGAACGGACGGACUUAGCUUAGCUUUAUUGAUUUGCAAUGUUUCUGCUCUGACGCAGAUUUUUUAAAACGUUACGAAAGGAAUAACAAAACUUAUAUACCUUCUCUCCCUCGGCGAAGAAGAAAUAAUGAAUGAAAUGCAGAUAAUAUCAUCGAAAUCAGCAUCAGCAAAGUCUGUGCGGCGAGAACAACUGGCUAUCAACGGGGAAUCCACGAGAAGCCCUACUAUGUAGGUGCCAUCAGACGAAUGAUCGAUUGAAACUAAUGUUAUUCAGAGCGGAUAAUGCCUAUCCAUGAAAGCGGGGCAAGCGAGGCAUCUUCCAGGCUACUUUUGUAAAAGACUUGCUCGAUAGAAGUGAGGAAAGAGGAACGACAGAUAGUAACUUGGUGGCCGCAGUGUAAUGAGUGCUCUGGGUGGGCGACUUGGGUCCUCUCUAUAGCUACGAUUUAAUUUAAGUCUACUGACUUUGAAUAUCGUAACGCAUUGUCUAACUAUUCAACAGCACUGUGCUUCGAACUAAUCAGAAAGAGUAAAGUUUUCCGCGUAUGAUAUUCUUUAUCGCACAAAACUGGCGAUCUUUCUUGUUGCAGAAAAUAUUUUUGCAAUGAGAUGAUUGUUAGCAAAUGGAGCUGUCCAAGCUUUUAAAAAAAAAGUAGAUGACUUCAAAAAUGUAUGCUCAAACUAUAUGCUAUUACCGCUAUCCAUAUGCGAAACCCGGAAAUUGAAUUGCGCAACUAAUAGCAUCCUAUAGUACCCGGUACGCUAUCUUUUGAAAUGAAACCACAGAGAGAAUUUCAUUAACGUCUCAAUCAGAUAGAUAUAGGAAGUCUUUGCAAACUUAUAAUAGAUUGUUCGCGCUGCCUGCCGUAACGUACGCAUCAGAGUUCUGCUGAAAGUACACCAAAUAUGGUUUAAAUUGCAUUGAAAAAAUUUAAGAACGCUUAAGUAAGUGAAACAAA